rnacentral:rRNA from 1 species
AUUGAACGCUGGCGGCAGGCUUAACACAUGCAAGUCGAGCGGGGGAAGUUGUUUCGGUAAUUGACCUAGCGGCGGACGGGUGAGUAAUACUUAGGAAUCUGCCUAUUAAUGGGGGACAACAUCUCGAAAGGGAUGCUAAUACCGCAUACGCCCUACGGGGGAAAGCAGGGGAUCACUUGUGACCUUGCGUUAAUAGAUGAGCCUAAGUCGGAUUAGCUAGUUGGUGGGGUAAAGGCCUACCAAGGCGACGAUCUGUAGCGGGUCUGAGAGGAUGCUCCGCGACACUGGGACUGGGACACGGCCCAGACUACGACGGGCGGCAGCAGGUGGGAAUAUUGGACAAGGGGGGGAACCCUGAUCCAGCCAUGCCGCGUGUGUGAAGAAGGCCUUAUGGUUGUAAAGCACUUUAAGCGAGGAGGAGGCUACUUUAGUUAAUACCUAGAGAUAGUGGACGUUACUCGCAGAAUAAGCACCGGCUAACUCUGUGCCAGCCGCCGCCGUAA